AUUGAACGCUGGCGGCAGGCCUAACACAUGCAAGUCGAGCGGAUGAAGGGAGCUUGCUCCUGGAUUCAGCGGAGGACGGGUGAGUAAUGCCUAGGAAUCUGCCUGGUAGUGGGGGAUAACGUCCGGAAACGGGCGCUAAUACCGCAUACGUCCUGAGGGAGAAAGUGGGGGAUCUUCGGACCUCACGCUCUCAGAUGAGCCUAGGUCGGAUUAGCUAGUUGGUGGGGUAAAGGCCUACCAAGGCGACGAUCCGUAACUGGUCUGAGAGGAUGAUCAGUCACACUGGAACUGAGACACGGUCCAGACUCCUACGGGAGGCAGCAGUGGGGAAUAUUGGACAAUGGGCGAAAGCCUGAUCCAGCCAUGCCACGUGUGUGAAGAAGGUCUUCGGAUUGUAAAGCACUUUAAGUUGGGAGGAAGGGCAGUAAGUUAAUACCUUGCUGUUUUGACGUUACCAACAGAAUAAGCACCGGCUAACUUCGUG
rnacentral:rRNA from 1 species